CCCUUAGAUGUCCUGGGCCGCACGCGCGUUACACUGAUGCAUUCAACGAGCUUAUAACCUUGGCCGAGAGGCCUGGGCAAUCUUGUUAACGUGCAUCGUGAUAGGGAUAGAUUAUUGAAAUUAUUAAUCUUGAACGAGGAAUUCCUAGUAAACGCAGAUCAUCAAUCUGCAUUGAUUACGUCCCUGCCCUUUGUACACAUCGCCCGUCGCUCCUACCGAUUGAAUGAUCCGAUGAAUAUCAUGGAUUGAGGAUGCAAGUAGGUUCGCCUAUCUUCAUCUUCGAGAAGUGAAGUAAAUCUUAUCAUUUAGAGGAAGGAGAAGUCGUAACA
rnacentral:rRNA from 1 species